CCGGUACUUGCGGAGGAAACGGAAAGCGUUGUGGUUCCCAAAGUCCUCAAAUUGGAUCAGGGUGUUCUGACCGUACCGGUCGGUGAUGGCCUCCAUGAAUUCGUCGAUGAGGUCGUCGUAGGCCGGCGAGCGGUCGCGUUUUUGGUACAGCCCCAUGUAGAAGGGGUCCUUUAAGAGGCUGGUGUUGUCGGUGCCGACGUCGAUGCAGACAGGCAGACAUUUGUGGGGGUGGAUCCCGGCGCAGGCGGUGUAAAGGCAGAGUUUCCCCACGGGGAUCCCCAUCCCAUAAACUCCGAGGUCC
rnacentral:lncRNA from 1 species